rnacentral:rRNA from 1 species
UGGGGAAUAUUGGACAAUGGGCGCAAGCCUGAUCCAGCCAUGCCGCGUGGGUGAUGAAGGCCUUAGGGUUGUAAACCGCUUUCAGCAGGGGCGAAUUCAGACGGUACCUGCAGAAGAAGCGCCGGCUAACUACGUGCCAGCAGCCGCGGUAAUACGUAGGGCGCAAGCGUUGUCCGGAAUUAUUGGGCGUAAAGAGCUCGUAGGCGGCCUGUUGCGUCCGCUGUGAAAUCCCAGGGCUUAACCCUGGGCCUGCAGUGGAUACGGGCAGGCUAGAGGCAGGCAGGGGAGAACGGAAUUCCCGGUGUAGCGGUGAAAUGCGCAGAUAUCGGGAGGAACACCGGUGGCGAAGGCGGUUCUCUGGGCCUGUUCUGACGCUGAGGAGCGAAAGCGUGGGUAGCAAACAGGAUUAGAUACCCCGGUAGUCC